GACGAACGCUGGCGGCGUGCUUAACACAUGCAAGUCGAACGGAAAGGCCCCUUUGGGGGUCCUCGAGUGGCGAACGGGUGCGUAACACGUGAGUAACCUGCCCUUGACUUCGGGAUAACUUCAGGAAACUGGGGCUAAUACCGGAUAGGCAUCCUUGCUGCAUGGUGGGGGUUGGAAAGCUUCGGCGGUUUUGGAUGGACUCGCGGCUUAUCAGCUUGUUGGUGGGGUAGUGGCUUACCAAGGCUUUGACGGGUAGCCGGCCUGAGAGGGCGACCGGCCACAUGGGGACUGAGAUACGGCGCAGACUCCUACGGGAGGCAGCAGUGGGGAAUAUUGCACAAUGGGCGGAAGCCUGAUGCAGCAACGCCGCGUGCGGGAUGACGGCCUUCGGGUUGUAAACCGCUUUCAGCAGGGGCGAAGCUUUUGUGACGGUACCUGCAGAAGAAGCACCGGCUAACUACGUG
rnacentral:rRNA from 1 species